GCACUGCUGAGGAGUCCCAUAAUAGGACGAAACGGCUGUCCAGUAC
rfam:Schistosoma mansoni, Puerto Rico, WGS project CABG01000000 data, contig: 0262